GGUGGGUUGGCUCAGUGGUUAGAGCUUAGGUCUCGUAACGAAAGGUCGCGGGAUCGUAUCCCGCUAGAGGCUG
rnacentral:tRNA from 1 species